UACGUAGGGAGCAAGCGUUGUUCGGAUUUACUGGGCGUAAAGGGCGCGUAGGCGGCGCGGUAAGUCACUUGUGAAAUCUCUGAGCUUAACUCAGAACGGCCAAGUGAUACUGCAGUGCUAGAGUGCAGAAGGGGCAAUCGGAAUUCUUGGUGUAGCGGUGAAAUGCGUAGAUAUCAAGAGGAACACCUGAGGUGAAGACGGGUUGCUAGGCUGACACUGACGCUGAGGCGCGAAAGCCAGGGGAGCAAACGGGAUUAGAUACCCCGGUAGUCCUGGCCCUAAACGAUGAAUACUUGGUGUCUGGAGUUCUAAUACUCCGGGUGCCGUCGCUAACGUUUUUAGUAUUCCGCCUGGGGAGUACGCUCGCAAGAGUG
rnacentral:rRNA from 1 species